rnacentral:ncRNA from 2 species
UGUAUCCUUCGGGGCUGGGUGGAAAUCCCGACCGGCGGUAGUAAAGCCAAUGCGCUUUAGAGCCCGUGACCCGUGUGCAUAUGCAUACGGUGGAUUCAGUUAUAAGCUGAAGCCGACAGUGAAAGUCUGGAUGGGAGAAGGAUGAA